CCCUCGUCUCUACACUUUCUUCGGUUUUUCUCAUUGCAUUGUUCAUUUUAAGUAGAAGAAUGCAUGUUUAUGAAUUUUCUUUUGAUGGUUAAACACAUGGGUCUGCUUUUAUUGGAUUUUUAAUGAGAAACCUAGAAAUUUCAGAUGUAUAUAACUGUGUUCAUGUUAAUUUUUGUGUUAGGCUCUGCCAGUCGGAGGAGCAAAACUUGGAUGUUUCUAAAUGCAGCUGUCCUGUUUGAUCUUAUGCCUCAAUGAAUGAAACUCCUCAAAUUUAUUGCAGAAGUACAAAUAACUUUCAUCUAUCUCAAUGGCUAGUUUCAGACAGCAAUGGGUCUCUCUCAUUAUUGUCAUUAUUAUGGAUUUUGAUUCGGACUGCUUUGAUCUCGGAUAGGUUCUGAGCUCUGGAUGUCUCUGCCAAUGAAAUAAGUACUUCCACAAGUUCAUAGAAGUUCCCAUUUACUCAAGACAAUGAUGACAUCAUAGCUCUUUCUUUUCCAACAUCAGAGGAGCUGCUUUCAGGGUUCUUUGAGGAUGUGAAUAAAGGGGCAUCGACUUGCCGCUUGUGAGGUUCUCCAUAGCAACUUGCAGAUAGCAUAUUAGAAUUUCAAAAGCUGGGGAAUCUAUCAGAUUCAGGUUUUAAUCUCACUCCACAAACGCUGCAGUUAUGAUUCCAAGCUGAUAUUUAUACGCUAGCAUUUGUAUUUGUGCAGAACACGGUUUUAUUAGAGUAUAAUGGUGCUUUUGUUAGAGGAUAAUGGUGCUUUUGUUUCUUUAUUUAUUUGUUUGAGUAAAAUUUUCCAAUUCAUCAUUUAUGCCAAUUUUGGAAAUUGUAUUGUGCAUA